CCUACGGGCGGCAGCAGUGGGGAAUAUUGGACAAUGGGCGAAAGCCUGAUCCAGCCAUGCCGCGUGUGUGAAGAAGGCCUUCGGGUUGUAAAGCACUUUCAGUGGGGAAGAAAGCCUUGGGGCUAAUACCCUCGAGGAAGGACAUCACCCACAGAAGAAGCACCGGCUAACUCCGUGCCAGCAGCCGCGGUAAUACGGAGGGUGCGAGCGUUAAUCGGAAUUACUGGGCGUAAAGCGCGCGUAGGCGGUCUGAUAAGCCGGUUGUGAAAGCCCCGGGCUCAACCUGGGAACGGCAUCCGGAACGGGCAGGCUAGAGUGCAGUAGAGGAAGGUAGAAUUCCCGGUGUAGCGGUGAAAUGCGUAGAGAUCGGGAGGAAUACCAGUGGCGAAGGCGGCCUUCUGGACUGACACUGACGCUGAGGUGCGAAAGCGUGGGUAGCAAACAGGAUUAGAUACCCCUGUAGUC
rnacentral:rRNA from 1 species